rnacentral:rRNA from 1 species
AUACGGAGGGUGCUAGCGUUGUUCGGAAUUACUGGGCGUAAAGGGCGCGUAGGCGGACGAUCAAGUCAGAGGUGAAAGCCCUGGGCUCAACCUGGGAACUGCCUUUGAAACUGAUCGUCUAGAGGCCGGAAGAGGAUGACGGAAUUCCCAGUGUAGAGGUGAAAUUCGUAGAUAUUGGGAAGAACACCGGUGGCGAAGGCGGUCAUCUGGUCCGGUACUGACGCUGAGGCGCGAAAGCGUGGGGAGCAAACAGGAUUAGAUACCCUAGUAGUCC